GCCUGGAAGGCUCGGUCGGUUAAGCAUCUGACUUCGGCUCAGGUCGUGAUCUCACAGCUUGUGGGUUCGAGCCCCGCCUCGGGCU
rnacentral:tRNA from 1 species